rnacentral:rRNA from 1 species
UACGUAGGGGGCUAGCGUUGUCCGGAAUCAUUGGGCGUAAAGCGCGUGUAGGCGGCCCGGUAAGUCCGCUGUGAAAGUCGGGGGCUCAACCCUCGGAUGCCGGUGGAUACUGUCGGGCUCGAGUACGGAAGAGGCGAGUGGAAUUCCUGGUGUAGCGGUGGAAUGGCGCAGAUAGUCAGGAAGAACACCUAUGGCGAAGGCAGCACUCUGGGACGGUACUGACGCUGAGACGCGAAAGCGUGGGGAGCGAACAGG